AGUUUGAUCCUGGCUCAGGACGAACGCUGGCGGCGUGCCUAAUACAUGCAAGUCGAGCGAGCUGAAUUCAAAGAUUCCUUCGGGAUGAUUUGUUGGAUGCUAGCGGCGGAUGGGUGAGUAACACGUGGGCAAUCUGCCCUAAAGACUGGGAUACCACUUGGAAACAGGUGCUAAUACCGGAUAACAACAUGAAUCGCAUGAUUCAAGUUUGAAAGGCGGCGUAAGCUGUCACUUUAGG
rnacentral:rRNA from 1 species